rnacentral:rRNA from 1 species
CGCUUUCACUCCUACGGGAGGCAGCAGUGGGGAAUAUUGCACAAUGGGCGCAAGCCUGAUGCAGCCAUGCCGCGUGUAUGAAGAAGGCCUUCGGGUUGUAAAGUACUUUCAGCAGUGAGGAAGGUGGAUGCGUUAAUAGCGUAUUCAUUUGACGUUAGCUGCAGAAGAAGCACCGGCUAACUCCGUGCCAGCAGCCGCGGUAAUACGGAGGGUGCGAGCGUUAAUCGGAAUUACUGGGCGUAAAGCGCAUGCAGGUGGUUUGUUAAGUCAGAUGUGAAAGCCCGGGGCUCAACCUCGGAAUUGCAUUUGAAACUGGCAGACUAGAGUACUGUAGAGGGGGUAGAAUUUCAGGUGUAGCGGUGAAAUGCGUAGAGAUCUGAAGGAAUACCGGUGGCGAAGGCGGCCCCCUGGACAGAUACUGACACUCAGAUGCGAAAGCGUGGGGAGCAAACAGGAUUAGAUACCCUGGUAG